AUUGAACGCUAGCGGCAUGCCUUACACAUGCAAGUCGAACGAGUGGCGGACGGGUGAGUAAUGUCUGGGAAACUGCCCGAUGGAGGGGGAUAACUACUGGAAACGGUAGCUAAUACCGCAUACCAUCGGAUGUGCCCAGAUGGGAUUAGCUAGUAGGUGGGGUAAAGGCUCACCUAGGCGACGAUCCCUAGCUGGUCUGAGAGGAUGACCAGCCACACUGGAACUGAGAAACGGUCCAGACUCCUACGGGAGGCAGCAGUGGGGAAGAUUGCACAAUGGGCGCAAGCCUGAUGCAGCCAUGCCGCGUGUAUGAAGAAGGCCUUAGGGUUGUAAAGUACUUUCAGCGGGGAGGCGUUACUCGAAGAAGAAGCACCGGCUAACUCCGUGCCAGCAGCCGCGGUAAUAC
rnacentral:rRNA from 1 species